rnacentral:tRNA from 1 species
GGGCCCGUAGCUCAGCUUGGUAGUAAUUUCAGAAUAAAAUUCAAAAUUGCCGAAAGCAUCUGACUCUUAAUCAGAUGGCCGCGGGUUCGAAUCCCGUCGGGCCCG